rnacentral:rRNA from 1 species
GGGGACAACCCGCCGAAAGGCGGGCUAAACCCGCGUACAUGCCACCGGGGCAUCCCGGAGGCAGGAAAGGCUUCGGCCGGACAGGGAUGGGCAUGCGGCGCAUUAGGCAGUAGGCGGGGUAACGGCCCACCUAACCGACGAUGCGUAGGGGUUCUGAGAGGAAGGUCCCCCACACUGGUACUGAGACACGGACCAGACUCCUACGGGAGGCAGCAGUGAGGAAUAUUGGUCAAUGGUCGGGAGACUGAACCAGCCAAGCCGCGUGAGGGAUGAAGGUACAGAGUAUCGUAAACCUCUUUUGUCAGGGAACAAAGGCGGGGACGUGUCCCCGGAUGAGUGUACCUGAAGAAAAAGCAUCGGCUAACUCCGUGCCAGCAGCCGCGGUAAUACGGAGGAUGCGAGCGUUAUCCGGAUUUAUUGGGUUUAAAGGGUGCGCAGGCGGUCUGUUAAGUCAGCGGUCAAAGCCCGGGGCUCAACCCCGGCCCGCCGUUGAAACUGGCAGUCUCGAGUUGGAGAGAAGUACGCGGAAUGCGCGGUGUAGCGGUGAAAUGCAUAGAUAUCGCGCAGAACUCCGAUUGCGAAGGCAGCAUGCCGGCUCCACACUGACGCUGAGGCACGAAAGCGUGGGUAUCGAACAGGAUUAGAUACCCUGGUAGUCCACGCAGUAAACG